rnacentral:rRNA from 1 species
AUUGAACGCUGGCGGCAUGCCUUACACAUGCAAGUCGAACGGCAGCGGGGGAGAAGCUUGCUUUUCCUGCCGGCGAGUGGCGAACGGGUGAGUAAUACAUCGGAACGUGCCCUGUAGUGGGGGAUGACUAGUCGAAAGAUUAGCUAAUACCGCAUACGACCUGAGGGUGAAAGUGGGGGACCGCAAGGCCUCGUGCUAUAGGAGCGGCCGAUGUCUGAUUAGCUAGUUGGUGGGGUAAAGGCCUACCAAGGCGACGAUCAGUAGCUGGUCUGAGAGGACGAUCAGCCACACUGGGACUGAGACACGGCCCAGACUCCUACGGGAGGCAGCAGUGGGGAAUUUUGGACAAUGGGCGAAAGCCUGAUCCAGCAAUGCCGCGUGUGUGAAGAAGGCCUUCGGGUUGUAAAGCACUUUUGUCCGGAAAGAAAUGGCUCUGGUUAAUACCUGGGGUCGAUGACGGUACCGGAAGAAUAAGGACCGGCUAACUACGUGCCAGCAGCCGCAGUAA